UGGACAUCCCAGCCUGGCUGGCUCAUACAUGCAGUGCAGUGGCAUCAGGGCUCCAGCCAGUGCUGGAGUGGAGAGGGAAAAGGUUCUUAAAGGAACUUUCAAGAAAGGUUUCUCCACUUGCAUCUUGACAUUUCAGCUCCUUAUGCUCUCAAGUCAGGGCUACAGUCCUCCAUCCUUGCUCCUUGCCCAAGCCAUUACCUGACGUGGGAUAACAGCCGUGUGGGGUGCCCUGGUGUGUGAAGGCUACUCCAGCGGAUGGAUGGCACAGGUGGCUGUUGGCAGCAGGAGCCGAUUGCUGCCAUGGAGGGCUGGGUUGGCCAGGCCCUCAGUGGCACCUGUCUGUGCCUACAGCUGUGCCUGGGUGGCUGAAUGCCAUUUAAAUUACAGCAAGAAGGCUCCGUGUCUGGAGUUAGGGCUCAUGCCACACUGAGAGUGGGGUGGAUAACUAAGGCCUUCCCCUUGGUUUCAUGAGACAAGGGGUGUGAGUAGUCUCAAAUCUCCUGGGUAAGGGUGCUGGUGACCAUGUACUGUGUGAAUGGGAUGCACUGCAGACUGGAGGCAGCAAGCAGGGACAAGGGACUCUCUUGUGGUUUAGGAGGCAGACCAAUGUAAUAGGUUUCCUUCAAAUCAGCUGCACCAGCCAGGUUGGGGAUGGGGAUAAUUGGAGAAAAGCCCCAAGAUUUUGGUCAAAUCUACACCUGAGGUGACAUUGUGCUUGGUCUCAGUUGAGCCACAGAAAACAUAGUAACUGCUAUGAGUCUAUGAGCUGGUGGCUUCCUUGUGCAGCAGAAAACCCUCCACUCCUCCUCAUACCGAUCCCCCUUUCCCAUCACAGGGCAACCACCUCCUCUUCCCUUAGAGCCUUAGCAAUUUCUGCUUACACCUGGCAGUACCUAGGGCUGAGGGAGCAAGCAGCACGUGUGUUUUGCUGCCCUUACUCAGUUCUCCCAAAGCCUGGAAACAUUGUCAGCACAUUUAUCCCUUCCCCACCCCAUGGCAGGGUUGUCUGUGAGCCACUCAUGGCUAAAACAAAUUUUUCUUCGUGUCCAUGCUCUGCAGGCAGAUGAGGCAGUGUCUGAGCUGGCCAGUAAGUACAUGAUUCUGGUUCCUACAACCCUGCAGAGAGUAUGCAGGUCCAAUUUACCAAAUUACACUCACUCCAGGGAAGGAAGAUCAGAGCUGGAGCAGGCGAGAAGGAAUGCGUGACGCAUCCAUGCCGCUUUGCUCUCUGCAGCCGUGUGUGUGCUUUACAGAACACCUUGUAGGAGAAUCAGAAACCUGCCCUUAAAGAGCAGUCAGCACUCAGUGCUUGCCGAGGCUCCGAGCUUGUGGCUUUGCAGAGGCAGCCCAUAUGGCAAUCUCAUGCAACGCCUGCUGAAAUGACGCCGUGUUUCCAUACUUAGUAACUUAGUUAAGAUUAUACAGGGGCUGGAGAUCAGGGCUGACUCUUCCUCUGCAAUUUUUAUCUAGACUUUUCCUCCAGGCUUCAGUUAGGCACAGCAAGCAUCACACCACUCUGCAGCCAAGCAGCUUGUCCAGCCUGCAGCAGGAGCCAAGGAGCACCCAGGACACUGUCACAAACUCCAGCCUACAAGGGUAAAAAGUCUGAUAGCCUCCUGCCUAGUAACUGAUUUUACAUUUUGCAAACUGCAGGAGCUCUCUCCUUUUUCUCACAGCCUCACAGAACAAAUGUGCUUCCACUGAAUCCUUGCAGCUUGCAUAGAGCAUGAUACCAUGUCCAGAAUUAGAUUGUAGUGCAUGAAAUGCAGGCUUUACCUACUGCCAGAGGAGCCUAGUUCUUCUACAACCUUAGAAACAGCAGAAUUCCCCCAAUCUGCAUUAUAUAGCAGCUAUUUAAAUCUGAAGUUGGCACAGCUGAUGGGAUUUCUGCCUCGGUUAUUUCUCCUCUGAAUUAAGGGCAGUGAAGUAGACUUCACACACACAGUAUGCGUGACCCUCAGGCUCCUAUCCCUCAGCCAAUUUUGUGCUUCAUGGUAAAUAGGAGUCCAAUGUUCCCCCACAUAACCAAACAACCUCUUGCAGUUCACUGCUUGCAAAGCCUCUUCUCACAAGCUUGUUUCUGCUGUUACCACAAUAUUUAUGACUCCCUUCCUCUUCACCCUGCCUUUAGAGAGACCCAGGUGCAUGCCCUUCUCUUUCAAAAUGAAAAGGGGAAACCAUCACUGCUGACAACUUCUUCACAUGCCUGUGUGGAGAAUCAGAUGCACCUUUGCAGCAUGCUUACAAAAAUAAAUCCACAGCUGCAGUGUUGGGGAAUGAAGAAAGAAUGAUGAUAAAAUCUUUCAAAUAGCUUUUGCCCUGGCAGAAAGCCCAGAAAUAGCUGCAAGGACAGGCUGUCCUUUGGGAGAUGAAUGCUCCUCCAGUGCUCCCGAGCUGGACUAUAGAAAGAGAAUGUGGCUGAUUCUGAUGGAAACAGUUUCACACAGUGGUAGUCCAUUCAUAGCCUUUUUUGGGGAGUGGCAAAUCUAUACAUUUUUGGCCAGAAGAAUACCAGUUUUCUUUAUCUUCCCAUAGACAUAGGCCUUCAGAAAAAAACAGGUUCUCUAUUGUCCUUCUAUAGGCAUAAUUUCCACCUUGGGCAUACUAAUUUUUUCUCAGUAUGGUCCAAGUAGCUUCUGGGGAUAUCCUACCUUCCUCUGUCCUGCUGUAUUCACAGUCUUGCCAUGCAGUCCUGCACAUAAAAUCCUGUUACACUUCAUUUCCAGUGCAAGGGACAUCUCAGGGUCUUACCAUGAGCAUCCCUUGCUGGGCCAGAAGUGCUUGCCUUUGCUGACUUUCCCAUUGAAAUGCUUCAAGCCCUGAGAAUUAACAGAGGAAUUCAGUCCCCUGACCUAGGCAAUACUGUUUUGGCUGCUCAAGUAUCCCAGGUAUGCUGCCUUUGCGUUAUUUUCGGUGCACUCAUGCAGUGUCAUAAGUGAAUGAAGUCACUGAAUGAAGGAAGCUGGCUGCACCCACAAGCUCCAAUUUCCCUAUUACAGAGGUGCAUGUCCUCCAAGUGAUGGCCAGCCGCCUCUCAUUUCUCCUUCAGCUGCUCUCUUCCUCUUUUUUGCACACACACACCCUUUUAAGGAAUGGCAGGAGCAAGUUCCAGGCUCAGCAGAUGCAUCAGCUUAAUUUAUAUAGGGCAGAGAAUCUCCCAGUGCUGAAACUCCUCUGCAUCUCCAUUGCAGUGUGCAGGAAGGUGGAGAAAGAGCCCUGGUCUUUGCCUCCCAUUAAAGGAGAUAAAUGAUCUUGCUGGCAUGCAAACAGUGCAGCUCAGGACAGACCAGCUUGGCUACAGUACUGCUUAGCCCUGCCAACAGCUUAUUCCUUCAGAAAAAGGUGCAUCUAACCCUGUAGACAGCUGCAGAGCAACCUUCAUGAUUUUUAUGUCCCCUGCCCCCACCAGUUAGUGGCUGGCUCUGUUAAUCCUAUUUAACAUAACUAUUGAUAGACAUGCAAACCUUUAAUCCUGCUCCAACCUACCAGCCCUUCAGCCUGCCUUGGCUGGAGUUCCACGUUUUGAGCUGUAAGCAGACAGCAGGCAGCCUGCCUUCUUUCACACUCCUCAUUUCGGCUCGAAUUGAUGGGUCUUUAUGUCUCAAAAUGAGAAACUUCCUUUUGCUGUAACUUUUCUGAGUUAUUCAGGGCCCUGCUGCUGUGCACCCUUUUUACAAAAACCACUCCCCUUCCUGAGGUGUUCAGGAGCCUGUAAGUGCUGAUGUUGUGUUGAUCAUCAUCAAGACUGAAAUGUAAGGCCGUCAUGAAAAAAACCUCAGAGGGUAAGAUUGGCUAAGGUUUUUAGGACUCUUCCCCACCCCUUGAUUUUCCCCUAUAGCCUUUUCAGUGUUUUCAAUCUCAUUUACCUGAACAAGUUCGUUGGCAUCCAGGUUUGUUACUGCUAUGUCAUUUCAGAGGCAAGAAGUUGGUGUCCUGAACAAACAUGUUUUCUUGGUUUACGUUUGCAGUCCUCCCCCCCCAGUACACACAUAGUGCUGUUAGUAGCUGUUGUUGCUUUCUGUGGUAAGGAUGUGGAGGCUUGCUGGUACAGCAGAGGCUGUAUGGGCUUACAUUAGCUUGUACCCACUGGAACAAAUUUCCUUUUAUUUGCUUUCCAUUCACAUAACAAGGAAGCAAAAGGCCAUUAAGACGCUUGAUGAAUCUUAUUCACACUAAGCUAGCUCAAGGCUGAGCAUCUGGGAACUAUUCUAAACAGCUUCCCUGGAAAGGUUCUACCACACUAAUAACACUCCAGAGCUUUUAUUUGCAUUCAUAUGAAAGCUGCCGCUGCUGCCGCCCAUUCUGACUCCCUGCUGCGUGUGGGUGGAGAUGCCCUGUAGGAUGGCACCCUCACCAUUCCCUAGCUCAGCUACCUCUAUUUUCUGCUGCAGGAUGCUCAGCUGGUGUCGCAGAGCUGGGAAGGGAGCCAGCAGCCUGAUGAGCUCAGCGAGCACGCGGCGCUGGCCCAGCAGCGCUGGGACACGUCCCUGCGCCGCCGCUCGCAGAUGUGCGGGGAAGAAAUGCUGUCCAGCAGGUCCAAAGGUUGUUGUGGGCUGCAGCUGUCAGCUUCCAGCAUGGGAAACAGGUAAGGCACAGGAAAAAGCAGUGCCAGAAGCUCCCCAGAAGCACAUUCAGAGUGGUUUAGUGAGGAAGUUUCUGGAACAACACUCCCACCUGCUGGGCCUUCUCUUUGUUACAGCCGGGGGAACUUUGAGAAAAAACAACCUCCCUUCAACCCAGCACCACAAGCUCGGGCUCAGAUUUUAAUUUGAUGCUGAGACUAACACAAGCCCUCCUGGCUACAGGACCUGGCAACACUCAGCAGUGGUGCCCUCCUGGCAUGGCUAAAUCUCGGUGGGACACUCUGCUAUAAACAUCCAAAGGACAGCUUUCUCCAUGUGAGAGCUCUUCCUUGCAGAGAGGGAAGACUGUGAGUAGCCAAAAUGGAGGAGUCAUCUCCAUUCCAACCUGCACUCUUUGAAGGCCUAAGCAUGUCAGAGAGAUGAUUAAAUAUAUGUGUCAACAUGAAUCAGAGAGGCCAUUCACACAACUGAGUCAUCCUAAAGAGAGGAAUGCUUGGAUCACAGCAGUGACACGGUUCGUCUUCAUCACCUGCCAUAAUAAUCACUACUACAAAGGCAAAGAGAGACAGCAUCUGCAACAAUUAUUUAAUCAAAUGACAUAUAAAAAGUUUUUGCAGUGACUGACAGACCUGACAGGGGCUGUAAUAAGAACCCAAACUGCAGGGUUACUCAAGUUUAACAGUCUUUCAAAGCAUCCUUCCCUUCCAGAGAUUUACUAAUGCUGGUCCAAAACAUUUCUCCAUUCAGAUACAGUACUUUCAAUGCUCCCUGCCAAAUAACACAGGUAGCGGGAGCCUUAUAUCCUGAGGAAGGGGAAAAAGAUUUUUAUUUGGCUUAGUCCACCCUUCUACAUCAAGAAUGCAAGACAUGCUGGCUGCAGGAAGAUGAUUAUAAGGACAACACAGCUCAGAGCCAAGAGCGCCUCUGUGGCUUUAGCUGCCCAGCAACAAGCUCUGCCCAGACCAGAGCUGCUCUGCAAGUCCGACACGGAGGUACUUGCUGGCAGAGGCACAUCCCCAUGUGCCAUCUCAAACACACUGAGGAAAUGCCCAGGCCUGCGUGCCAGGCUGGAGAAGCUGCAAAAAGGCUGGAGCUGCAAGAACCCCCGUCAGGAUGUUUAUGGUAUCCCAAAGUAUUCCCUC